rnacentral:lncRNA from 1 species
AAAAAUUGAAAAACAUAUAAGACCUAAUAAUAUAAAAGUCAGAGAAAAAAUUAAAAAGAGCAAAGUUAAUGCAAAAUAAAAAAAAAGUAUGAGAAUUUAAAAACGCAAAUAAGAAAUGAAAGGAAAUUUGUGGGAAAAAAAAAAGAAAAGACAAAAGAUUUGGAAUAAAAAACAGAAAAAUAAAAAUUUUAAAACAAUGAAAAAUUAAAACAAGUAAACAUGAAAGCAUAUGUAAAAAAAGCAAAAAGAAGGAAAAUUGUGAAGGGAAAAAGUUAUUAAGAAAUUACAAAGUAGAAAAAAAUAAGAAAAUAAAAAAAAUAAAUAAAAUACCAAAAAAGGAAAAAAUAAAAAAUUAGCGAAUCAAAAAAAUAUAAAAAGACAAAAUGAAUAAUCAAAUAUAAAAUGGAAAAAACUUUUAGUUUAGAAUUUACAAAGAAAAAGAAAAAAAAUAACAAAUAGAGGAAAAAGAUAUAAAAUAUGAAAGAUGAAAAAUAAAAUAAAAGAAAGUGCACAAAAAAGAAGUUUGAGGUUUUAAAGUUAUAAAGAAGAAAAAAAAAAGGUGUGAACAAAAAGAUUUAAGAAAAAAAUAAAAAAUGAAAAUACAAAAUAUAUAAAAUAAAAUUUGAGAAAAAGAAGAAAAAAAAUAAAGAAUGAAGAGGCAAAAAUAUGAAAUAAAACAAAAAGAAAAAAAUUUAUAGAAAAUUUUAAAACAAAGAAAAAACUGAACGAAAAAGAAUGAAAGCACAUAAAAAAAAGUAAAAAAAGAAGAAAAAUUCGGAAGGAGAAAAAGUUAAUGAAAAAUUAUAAAAAUGCAACAGAAAAUAACCAAGAAUGAUAAAAGAAAAAAAGAUAGAAAAAUAAAAAAUUUCAAAACUUUAUAAAAAUUUAUGAAAUUAUGAAUAAAGAAAGAAAAUAAAAUAAGAAAAAAAAUUAAAGCAAAAGAAAAAAGAUAGAUAAAGCACGAAAAAAGAAAAAAAAACAAAAAUACAACAAAAAAUUAUAAAAAGUAAGAAAAUGAAAAAGGACAAAAAUUGAAUAAAAAUUUCAAAAAUGAAAUGGAGUGACAAAAUGAAAAAAAAAAUUAGUUUAAAAAAUACAAAAAUUUAAAAAACAUAUAAGACCAAACAAUCUAAAAAGUCUGACAAAAAAUUAAAAAAGAGAAAAGUUAAUGCAAAAUUAAAAAAAAAAAGUAUGAGAAUUUAAAAACGCAAAUAAGAAAUGAAAGGAAAUUUGUGGAAAAAAAAAGAAAAGACAAAAGAUUUGGAAUAAAAAAGAGAAAAAUAAAAAUUUUUAAAACAACGAAAAAAUCAAAAAAGUAAAAUGAAAACAUAUGAAAAAAAAAAAGCAAAAAGAAGGAAAAUUGCAAAGGGAAAAGUUAUUAAAAAUUUACAAAGUAAAAAAAGUUAGGGAAUCAAAAAAUAUAAAGGAAAAAAUAAAAAUAAACAAAGUAAGAAAAUAAAAAAUUAGGGAAUCAAAAAAUAUAAAAAGACAAAAUGAAUAAAAAUUUCGAAUAUAAAAAGAAAGUGCACAAAAAAAGAAGUUUGAGGUUUUAAAAUUACAAAGAAGAAAUAAAAAAAGGUGUGAACAAAAAGAUUUAAGAAAAAAAUAACAAAUGAAAAUACAAAAUAUAUAAAAAAAUAUUUGAGAAAAAAAUGAGAAAAAGAAGAAAAAAAUAAAAAAUGAAGAGGCAAAAAUAUGAAAUAAAACAAAAAGAAAAAAAAUACAAAAAAAGGACAAAAAUUGAAUAAAAAUUUCAAAAAUGAAAUGGAACGACAAAAUGAAAAAAAAAAGUUUAAAAAAGACAAAAAAAAAUGAAAAACGUAUAAGUCCUAACAAUAUAAAAAGUCAGACAAAAAAUUAAAAAAGAGAAAAGUUAAUGCAAAAAAAAAAAAGUAUGAGAAUUUAAAAAUACAAAUAAGAAAUGAAAGGAAAUGUGUGGAAAAAAAAAGAGAAGCAAGAAAAGACAAAAGAUUUGGAAUAAAAAAUAGAAAAAUAAAAAUUUUUAAAACAACGAAAAAAUUAAAACCAGUAAAAAUGAAAGCAUAUGAAAAAAAAGCAAAAAGAAGGAAAAUUGUGAAGGAAAAAGUUAUUAAAAAAUUACAAAGUUGAAAAAAAAUAAAUUAAGCGAAAAAAUUAAAUAAAAUACCCAGAAAGGAAAAAUAAAAUAAACAAAGUAAGAAAAUAAAAAAUUAGCGAAGCAAAAAAAUAUAAAAAGACAAAUGAAUAAAAAUUUCAAAUAUAAAAUGGAAAAAACUUUUAGUUUAGAAUGUAGAAAGAAAAACAAAAAAAAAAAAAACAAAUAGAGGAAAAAGAUAUAAAAUAUGAAAGAUGAAAAAUAAAAUAAAAGAAAGUGCACAAAAAAAGAAGUUUGAGGUUUUAAAAUUAUAAAGAAGAAAUAAAAAAGGUGCGAACAAAAAGAUUUAAGAAAAAAAUAAAAAAUGAAAAUGCAAAAUAUAUAAAAUAAAAUUUGAGAAAAAGAAGAAAAAAUAAAAAAUGAAGAGGCAAAAAUAUGAAAAAAAAAUAAAAAGAAAAAAUUUAUAGAAAAUUUUAAAACAAAGAAAAAGUGAACAAAAAAAAUGAAAGCACAUAAAAAAAAGUAAAAAAAAGAAGAAAAAUUCGGAAGGAGAAAAAGUUAAUGAAAAAUUAUAAAAAUGCAAUAGAAAAUAACCAAGAAUGAUAAAAGAAAAAAAGAUAGAAAAAUAAAAAAUUCCAAAACUUUAUAAAAAUUUAUGAAAUUAUAAAUAAAGAAAGAAAAUUAAAGCAAAAGAAAAAAGAUAAAUAAAGCACAAAAAAAAAAACAAAAAUACAACAAAAAAUAUAAAAAGUAAGAAAAUGAAAAAGGACAAAAAUUGAAUAAAAAUUUCAAAAAUGAAAUGGAAUGACAAAAUGAAAAAAAUUAGUUUAAAAAAUACAAAAAAUUGAAAAACAUAUAAGUUCUAACAAUAUAAAAAGUUUGGGAAUUUAAAAACACAAAUAAGAAAUGAAAGGAAAUUUAUGGAAAAAAAAAAGAAAAGACAAAAGAUUUGGAAUAAAAAAUAGAAAAAUAAAAUUUUUAAAACGACGAAAAAUUAAAAUAAGAAAAAAAAUUAAAGCAAAAGAAAAAAGAUAAAUAAAGCAUGAAAAAAGAAAAAAAAAAAAACAACAAAAAUUAUAAAAGGUAAGAAAAUGAAAGAGGACAAAAAAUGAAUAAAAAUUUCAAAAAUGAAAUGGAAUGACAAAAUGAAAAUAAAAUUAGUUUAAAAAAUAAAAAAAAUUGAAAAACAUAUAAGACCUAACAAUAUAAAAAGUCAGACAAAAAAUUAAAAAAGAGAAAAGUUAAUGCAAAAUAAAAAAAAAGUAUGAGAAUUUAAAAGCGCAAAUAAGAAAUGAAAGGAAAUUUGAGGAAAAAAAGAGACAAAAGAUUUGGAAUAAAAAUAGAAAAAUAGAAAUUUUAAAACAACAAAAAAAAUUAAAACAAGUAAAAAUGAAAGCAUAUGAAAAAAAAGCAAAAAGAAGGCAAAUUAUGAAGGGAAAAAGUUAUUAAAAAAUUACAAAGUAGAAAAAAAGAAAAUAAAAAAUAAAUUAAGAGAAAAAAUUAAAUAAAAUACCAAAAAAGGAAAAAAUAAAAAUAAACAAAGUAAGAAAAUAAAAAUUAGCGAAUCAAAAAAUAUAAAAAGACAAAAUGAAUAAAAAUUUCAAAUAUAAAAUGAAAAAAACUAUUGGUUCAGAAUGUACAAAGAAAAAUAAAAAAAAUAUAACAAACAGAGGAAAAAGAUAUAAAAUAUGAAAGAUGAAAAAUAAAAUAAAAGAAAGUGCACAAAAAAAGAAGUUUGAGGUUUUAAAACUAUAAAGAAGAAAUAAAAAAAGGUGUGAACAAAAAGAUUUAAGAAAAAAAAAGAAAAUACAAAAUAUAUAAAAUAAAAUUUGAGAAAAAGAAGAAAAAAAUAAAAAAUGAAGAGGCAAAAAUAUGAAAUAAAAGAAAAAGAAAAAAUUUAUAGAAAAUUUUAAAACAAAGAAAAAAGUGAACAAAAAAGAAUGAUGGCAUAUAAAAAAAAGUAAAAAAAGAAGAAAAAUUUGGAAGGAGAAAAAGUUAAUGAAAAAAAUAUAAAAAUGCAAUAGAAAAUAACCAAGAAUGAUAAAAGAAAAAAAGAUAGAAAAAUAAAAAUUCUAAAACUUUAUAAAAAUUUAUGAAAUUAUAAAUAAAGAAAGAAAAUAAAAAUAAAAUAAAAUAAGAAAAAAAAGUAAAGCAAAAGAAAAAAGAUAAAUAAAGCACAAAAAAAACAAAAAUACAACAAAAAAUAUAAAAAGUAAGAAAAUAAAAAAAGGACAAAAAUUGAAUAAAAAUUUCAAAAAUGAAAUGGAAUGACAAAAUGAAAAAAAAAUUAGUUUAACAAAAAAUUGAAAAACAUAUAAGACCUAAUAAUAUAAAAAGUCAGAGAAAAAAUUAAAAAAGAGCAAAGUUAAUGCAAAAUAAAAAAAAGUAUGAGAAUUUAAAAACGCAAAUAAGAAAUGAAAGGAAAUUUGUGGAAAAAAAAAAGAAAAGACAAAAGAUUUGGAAUAAAAAACAGAAAAAUAAAAAUUUUUAAAACAAUGAAAAAUUAAAACAAGUAAACACGAAAGCAUAUGUAAAAAAAGCAAAAAGAAGGAAAAUUGUGAAGGGAAAAAGUUAUUAAGAAAUUACAAAGUAGAAAAAAAUAAGAAAAUAAAAAAUAAAUUAAGAGAAAAAAAAUUAAAUAAAAUACCAAAAAAGGAAAAAAUAAAAAAUUAGCGAAUCAAAAAAAUAUAUAAAAAGACAAAAUGAAUAAAACCUUUAGUUUAGAAUGUACAAAGAAAAAGAAAAAAAAAUAACAAAUAGAGGAAAAAGAUAUAAAAUAUGAAAGAUGAAAAACGAAAUAAAAGAAAGUGCACAAAAAAAGAAGUUUGAGGUUUUAAAAUUAUAAAAAAGAAAUUAAAAAAAGGUGUGAACAAAAAGAUUUAAGAAAAAAAAUAAAAAUGAAAAUACAAAAUAUAUAAAAUAAAAAUUGAAGAAAAAGAAGAGGCAAAAAUAUGAAAUAAAACAAAAAGAAAAAAAUUUAUAGAAAA